rnacentral:rRNA from 1 species
GGUCAAGCUACAAAGGGCUCACGGAGGAUACCUAGGCACACAGAGGCGAUGAAGGACGUGGUUACCUGCGAUAAGUCUCGGGGAGUUGGAAGCACACUUUGAUCCGGGAAUUUCCGAAUGGGGCAACCCCAUGUACGGCCAACUGAAUAUAUAGGUUGGCACGAGCUAACCCAGCGAACUGAAACAUCUUAGUAGCUGGAGGAAGAGAAAGUAAAUAACGACUCCCUC